rnacentral:rRNA from 1 species
UACGUAGGCAGCAAGCGUUGUUCGGAAUUACUGGGCGUAAAGAGUGUGUAGGCGGUGCUCUAAGUUCGGUGUGAAAUCUCCCGGCUCAACUGGGAGGGUGCGCCGAAAACUGGGGUGCUGGAGCGCGGGAGAGGAAAGCGGAAUUCCUGGUGUAGCGGUGAAAUGCGCAGAUAUCGGGAGGAACACCGGUGGCGAAGGCGGCAUCCUGGACCGGCAUUGACGCUGAGGAGCGAAAGCCAGGGGAGCAAACGGG